GUUUCCCUUUCUUUCAAGAGUUUCUUUCUCUCGGAAAUUUCCACUUGCUCUUAAAGCUCUCUUUGUUCUUGAUGGGUGUAGCUACAUGUGGGUUCCGCUUUUGACUUUUUUCCAGAUCUUCUUCUCUUUUCUCUUUUUUUUUUCUUUCGUAAUAUUUUGGGUUGUCUGUACUUUUUUUUUCGGUGUUUUUUUAGGUGCUUUUUCUGAUUCUCUGAAUACUGUUUAGUUUUGCAAUUUCAUGACUGUCGUGUGCUAAAUCCGAGUGUGUGACUGGGAGUAGACGGGAAUUAGCGCUAUAAUUUUAGAUUUUUCUAAAAUACAUGAUGGAUUCCAUAUUUAAUUUGGUGGUGGAUUUUUGAAAAUAAAUGAUUCGCGAUUUAGAUUUGGUUGUGGUGGCUUGUGCUGAUGUUGGUUUCAUGCCCUUUUAUUGGCUGUAUCAAGUGUUUUAUUUUGCAGUAACAAUUCCAACAUGCGUAGUGAAAAGGAUGAUCACAGUGAUAAAUAUAUUGAUACCGAUGAGAUAUUGAAAGAAACAAUCGGAGAUUUUCUGGGAAGCACAUAAAAUUGUUGACAGCUAUUCACCGAAUCUAUUAGCAAACUCUAAAAAUGGGGAGAAUUGAAGGUGGAGGAGAUCAAAGAUGUAUUGCUUUAAGGAAAUUAUGUAAAAGAAACUGAAAAGUACCAAUCGAAAUAAUUGCACAGGAGGAAGAUGUCAAGAUUAAAAGAAGGAUGACAAGAACGAUUUGCGUGAUGAUGGAGAAAACGUCAAGCAUAGAAGAGAAAGAAUGAUGAGGAGAGAGAGCUUCCCAUAAACAUUAAAGGUAACAUGUUCAGUGCAAGACUGUCAAGAUCAUCAAGCCUAAACUUUGAGCAAGUCCAACAGGAUGUUGUUGUUGUUGUUGCCACCAAUAUUAUUGCUGCUUUCUACAUUAUUAUUAGUUAUAGGAGGAGGAGGCAUCAUCAUCAUUGCAGGAGGACAUAAGACUGCAUUUUCACUGCUGUAUCAAACAAGAUGUAUUUCCACUAGAACCACCCCCUCCAUUAACAUCUUUUUUUUUUCUCUGAGUUUCUUAUAACUCUCUUUGUUGAUUUUGUUCCUUUUGUUUUUGCCUAUGAAACCAUAAAACUUCCUAAACUUUGAACAAGUCUAAUCUACCUCUUUUACUAUUGUGGCUGAUUAUAAUGGAAGAAAACUAUCAUUUCAGUAUUGUAGUUGCGCUCCCAUAGAUGUAAAAAGUGUCAUUUGGUGAUCAUACAAUAUCCGAGAGUGGAUAAUUGUUCCAAAUUAUAUCUAACUAAUAUCCAGUGAUAUUAUCCAUAUUUGGUGAUCCUUUAUAUGCAUCAGAUCCCCUUUCCUGCCACUUCAUGUCAAAAUAAAGUUAAAAAAAAUAAUAAUUUCAACUUUUAUUAUAUUGCACGGGCUAACUCCACCUAGUUUAUAUAGAAAAGCUUGGGUUUCGACGUGGCUGUUUUUCGUCAUUAAAACUCAUUUUAAGGGCAUUGUUGUCAUUUCAAUGCUUAGGUUUGCAGCUGCAUGCACGUGUCUAAACAUCCGCUAGCCACUAUGUGGCCUUCAAUUGUACUAGAGUUACUUUUGUCUUUCCGACUUCCCCUCCGCCUCCGCCUCUUUGCACUUCCCGUCCGGCGUCUUUUGGCUCUCUCCUCCGUGAAGUUUUUCUGUUUUAGUUCUAAUUGAUCUUCACCCUUCAAAUUACUUUAUUCUCUGUUUGGUUUCUCAAUUGCAUGUCUAUAAUUGAAUUCCUCCUGCUGAAAUUUUGAUUUUUUUCUCAAACUUUUUUGGGUGCGCAUGUCUAAUAUGAUGCUUUUCUUGCUUUCUUUUGUUCCAUCUUCUUCAUUUCAGUUUUCGCUCUGCGAUGUGGUAGUGGUCUGUUGAUAAAGUAGUUGUCUGUUCCUGCAUCUGUUUUUUCGUACUUUUGGAUUCCGAAAUCUUGUCUGCAAGUAUGAGAGGCACUGAUUAUGAAAGCUAAUUCAGAAAUUGCACGCUGAACUUGAAGAUGAUAUAGUGCUGCUCAAAGCCAACUGGCCUGCGCCGCGAGAGAUGGUCUGAUAUGUGCUUUGUUGCUUUGCCAAAACUAAUCUACGUAUAGUAAUUCAGGCUUUUUAUCAUAAUUCGGUGGAUAAUUAUAGUUAUUUAGCUUUAGUUGGUGCAUUUAUGUAGAACUGUUAGCUGCCAUUUUUAACUUUGGUACUUUGGGCGGUUUCUAGCUAAAUCCCUUUUGAUUCUGAUAUUUCUUCUAUGUUUCUUUGUUUUCAUGACCAUUCAGAAUUUUAGUUUACUUGGUGUAUUUGUCCAAAUAUCUCCAAUAGGAGCUUUAACUGUAAUUGGUGUAAUUUUUGUAAAAAUGAUGCUACAAGUUUCAGUUUUAGUGA